AACGAACGCUGGCGGCAUGCCUAACACAUGCAAGUCGAACGAGACCUUCGGGUCUAGUGGCGCAUGGGUGCGUAACGCGUGGGAACCUGCCCUUAGGUUCGGAAUAACUCCCCGAAAGGGGUGCUAAUACCGGAUAAUGUCUUCGGACCAAAGAUUUAUCGCCUUUGGAUGGGCCCGCGUUGGAUUAGCUAGUUGGUAGGGUAAAAGCCUACCAAGGCGACGAUCCAUAGCUGGUCUGAGAGGAUGAUCAGCCACACUGGGACUGAGACACGGCCCAGACUCCUGCGGGAUGCAGGAGGGGGGGAUAAUGGACCAAUGGCGGAAGGCUGAACCAACCAAGCCGCGUGAGUGAUUAAGGCCUUAAGGUUGUAAAGCUUCUUUAACCCGGGAUGUUAUUGCAGGACCAGGAGGAUAAGCCCCGGCUUACUUCGUG
rnacentral:rRNA from 1 species